rnacentral:tRNA from 1 species
GCCACUGUGGCUCAGAGGCAGAGCACUGGUCUCGUAAAUUCUUUGUUUCCGGAAUACCGAAUUUAUUCAUUUAUGGAUGGAUUUCCGGUACAUGGUUGUAAACCAGGGGUCGAGAGUUCGAACCUCUCCAGUGGCU